rnacentral:rRNA from 1 species
UGGCGGACGGGUGAGUAGUGUCUGGGAAACUGCCUGAUGGAGGGGGAUAACUACUGGAAACGGUAGCUAAUACCGCAUAACGUCGCAAGACCAAAGAGGGGACCUUCGGGCCUCUUGCCAUCGGAUGUGCCCAGAUGGGAUUAGCUAGUAGGUGGGGUAACGGCUCACCUAGGCGACGAUCCCUAGCUGGUCUGAGAGGAUGACCAGCCACACUGGAACUGAGACACGGUCCAG